rfam:Picea glauca, whole genome shotgun sequence.
UACAACAUAGCAUAAUGCAUUGAAUCCCAUUAUAACUUCACAGUUAAGCGUGCUUAGGCUAGAGUAGUACUGAGAUGGGUGAUCGUCCAGGAAGUCCUAAUGUUUUAC